rnacentral:rRNA from 1 species
UCCGUAGGUGGCAAGCGUUGUCCGGAUUUACUGGGCGUAAAGAGCGCGCAGGCGGUCGUUCAAGUCGCGUGUGAAAGCCCCCGGCUCAACUGGGGAGGGUCACGCGAUACUGAUCGACUCGAAGGCAGGAGAGGGUAGUGGAAUUCCCGGUGUAGUGGUGAAAUGCGUAGAUAUCGGGAGGAACACCAGUGGCGAAGGCGACUACCUGGCCUGUUCUUGACGCUGAGGCGCGAAAGCUAGGGGAGCAAACGGG